UACGUAGGGCGCAAGCGUUGUCCGGAAUUAUUGGGCGUAAAGAGCUCGUAGGCGGUUUGUCGCGUCUGCUGUGAAAACCUCAGGCUCAACCUGGGGCUUGCAGUGGGUACGGGCAGACUAGAGUGCGGUAGGGGUGACUGGAAUUCCUGGUGGAGCGGUGAAAUGCGCAGAUAUCAGGAGGAACACCCGUAGCGAAGGCGGCACUCUGGGCCGAUUCUGACACUGAGGGAGCGAAAGCGUGGGGAGCGAACAGG
rnacentral:rRNA from 1 species